rnacentral:rRNA from 1 species
CCAGACUCCUACGGGAGGCAGCAGUGAGGAAUAUUGGUCAAUGGGCGGGAGCCUGAACCAGCCAAGUCGCGUGAGGGAAGACGGUCCUAUGGAUUGUAAACCUCUUUAGGCGGGGAGCAAUGCCGGGCACGCGUGCCCGGAGGGAGAGUACCCGGAGAAAAAGCAUCGGCUAACUCCGUGCCAGCAGCCGCGGUAAUACGGAGGAUGCGAGCGUUAUCCGGAUUUAUUGGGUUUAAAGGGUGCGUAGGCGGACGCUUAAGUCAGCGGUAAAAUUGCGGGGCUCAACCUCGUCGAGCCGUUGAAACUGGGUGCCUUGAGUGGGCGAGAAGUACGCGGAAUGCGUGGUGUAGCGGUGAAAUGCAUAGAUAUCACGCAGAACUCCGAUUGCGAAGGCAGCCUUCCGGCGCCCUACUGACGCUGAGGCACGAAAGUGCGGGGAUCGAACAGGAUUAGAUACCCGAGUAGGG